GUGGAAAGCGGAAGCCGCUCCGCUCAGGUCCCGCCCGAAGGCGGGGCGGGGCGGGGCGGGAUGAGGAAGUGGCGGGCGGGUUUCCGGCGGCGCAAUGUCUAGAGCCAUAGCGGGAGGGCGGGGAGGGGCGGCGCGGCGAGGCGAGGCGAGGCGCGGAGGCUUCGUGUCCGCGGUCGGGGAUGCUGCCGCGCGCCGCUUCGUGUGCGCUGCAGGUGGGGCAUCGUGGCCUCGCGUCCUGCGUGGGACGCCGGCGAGGAGACGGAGUGGAAUUGGGAACAAAACACCCAUGGAAGGAGUUACAGAGACAAAGUUUGGAGCUGAGACAAAAGGAUGGACCAUCUAGAGACUGCCAUAUCCAAAGAAAUUAAAGAUCUCAGAAGAUGCCUCUCACAGAAGCCAGUUGUCAUCCUCUGAACUGCUCUAAUGAAAAGCAAGGACCAAAGGAUGGCUGAGGGCCAACAGCCACGGAGAAAAUCAAUCCUGUCAUUGCGAGUGGGUCUGGACGCACCCUCUUCUUUCCAGUGGAGCCAGAGGUGGCACCAGCUUGGGCUAAGCCUUUGAAUGUGGACUUGCAAGGACUCAGCCAAGUUGUGUCUAGAUUACCGGCCAAAAGACACCUGUAAGAGUUAAGUUGGGUGUUGGUAGUUGCUCACUUUUGGAGUAAUUUAUUACUAAUUCAUAGAUAACCAAUAAAGAGUCUUUUAUCGUUUUGUUUUGUUUUUUUUAAGUCCCAAAAGACCUUCCUAUUUCCCAUUUCCUUAUUAUAGCUCUAACUAGCAUUUCCAAGUAAAACAGGAGUUGUGAGACCCUGGCUACACAUUAGACCAUCUGAGAAGUACCUUCACUUCACAAAUUCAAUUCAAUUCAAUUGGUCUAGGGUAGAACUCCUGUCUCAGUCACUCUCAAAGUCUUCCAUGGAUUUCUAGUAGGUACAUAAAGAAUCACAGAUGGAUCACACUUAUUUACUUAUUUAUUUGACACUUUCUGAAUGCUGCAUUUGAAAGUGACAAUAGAGAAUACAAUAUGAUACUCACCUACCUUCUAGGGAAAGAGACCACCAGGCAAAACAGAUUUUAAUUACAAUAAUGACAAACGUUCCAAUAGAGUUGCAAGAUAAUGGAAAGAAGAUGGAAUGCCCUAAGUCAAGCUUGUUAAAAUCAGAACAGGCGUCAUCUAGAAAAAUGUGGGGCCCAGAUUCAAGGUACAGCCUGAAAUAGGAAGUCCUAAGAGCAGGGAGUGAGGACUGUCCAUUUGUCCUGCUUAACGAAUCACAAUCUGAUGUAAAAAGUUCUGCCACAUGAGUCACCACACAGACAAGUGGGGUCCCUUCGUCUGGUUUCUUCCAUUCCUUGUGCGUGUUGCUGAGUUAUUCAUUUUCAGUACUAUGUAGUAUUCUGUUGUGUAAACUCAUAGCCACCUGUUUCAGCCAUCCUGUUGGGAUGAACAUUUAGCUUAGAUGUGUGUCCCUACUUCAUAUGUCACUAUGGAUAUUCUAAAUGCACCUCCCCCCACCCCUUUCCAAUGUUUUGAGACAAGGUCUUGCUAUGUAGUCCAUUCUGAUCUUGAACUCAUGAACUUCCUACUCAGCCACUCAAGUGCUGGGAUUAUGUCUCAAACCACCAUGCCUGGCUACUGUGGGCUCUCUUCCACCAGCUCUUAGUGCUUGUAGGCUCAUAUUAAUUAAUUAAUUAAUUAAUUCUUUAAUUAAUAAUUAAUAAGAAAUUAAUUCCUUAAAUCAAUGAUAAACAUACCACCAUUCUUUGGGUUAUUCUAAGAUGGUGGAUACUUUCUGGACACAUUAAUAGAAAUUUCCAUCCAGAGAAUCUGGGGUCUGAGGAGAUGGCUCACUUAGUAAAGGGCUUACUACACAAACAUGAGGACCUGAGUUCAAAUCCCAGCAUCAACCUAUAAAGGGAGGUGUGGUAGCAUGUGUCGGUAAUCCCAGUACUGGAAGGAGAGGGAGGGGCUUAAGGCAGGAAGGAGGCUUCUCAGCUAAUCUAGCCAAGUCAGUGAGUGAGCUCCUGGUUCAGCAAAAGUCCCUGUUGAAAAGAAAAUGGGUGAGGAACAAUAAAGACAUCUAACUCGGACCUUUAGCCUCUCUAUGCAUGUGCAAAGCAGUGCACACAGCAUAGGUCCGUGGUGCCCUGGGCAACACCAAAAGACAAUGCUCUGCAGAGUUCCCUUUUGUUUGGGUUUCCAUGCAGUCCCAUGUUCAGGGUCAUUAUAGACUGACCUCUCACAGGGCUCCAUACUCUUCAUCAUGAUUUCCAUGCGUAUAGAAAUAAACACAGUUGGCAAAUGCCAGAAUUUGUUGUUGUUGUUGUUUUUACCAUAUGACUUUUACAUAAAUGCAUGUACAUACUGUUACACAUUUAUUUUGUGUGUGUAAAUCUGUGAAAGCACACACACGGUUACUAUAGCACAUAUGUAUGGAGCUCAGAGGACAACGAACAAGUCUGCUCUUACCUUGCUUUUAGGCAGGGCAUCUCUUGAGUCUGCAUCUCUGUGUGCAUGCCCACGAGCUUCUUGACAAUCCUGUUUCUUCCUGCCAUCAUAGCAGAGGAGUGCCAGGAUUGCGUUGUCAACCUGACUACAUCUGGAAUGAACUACAAUCCAGAAAUGGGGUAACUCCGGUGAUCCUGAUCUUAAGGCUGGAAGACUCAGGCUUCUGACUGGAUUUUGAUGUUUAAUUUAAUUCCAGGAGACUGAGAUCUGCCAAAUUGCUGAGUAUCGCUACCUGGGAGUUUCUUGCCCUGCAGUUUUACAUGGUGGGUUCUAAAAUUUUCACAACAUAUCUACCCAAAGAUGCCUUCUCUGAGCAUGCAAACAGACCUAGUUAGUUACGCAGCAGUCUUUUUUGUUACGCAUUAUAUCACCCGUCUGCUCAGCAUUCACCAUUCUCAGAUAUUUUUUUCCUGGCUUGCCGACUCCAUUGAACUUCACUUUAAACUCCAGGAGAACAAAGACCUUAUCUGUCUAGUUGGGACAGUUAGUUUCUAGUGGGUCUUACUGGGUCAAUUACCCACUAAGUGAAUAAAAAGUGAGAAUUAAAAAACAAAACAUAUAGGGCUUGUGAGAUGGCUCAGCAAGUAAGAGCACUGACUGCUUUUCCAAAGGCACUGAGUUGAAAUCCCAGCAACCGUAUGUUGGCUCACAACAUGUAAUGAGAUCUGACACCCUCUUCUGGUGCGUUAGAGUACACUACAGUAUACUCACAUAUAUAAAAUACAUAAAUAAAUCUUUUUUAAAAAAACAUAUAAAAUAAACAGGAGUUUAAAGACCAUUCUUAUUGAGAAGAGGCACAAAAAGGAAAACGUUUUGAUUCAUAUCCAACAUUUCAGUUUUUAAAAUAUAAUGGGAUGGAGGCGCACAUAGUAAGAUAAGCAUGGAUAGUAAGUGGAUUUUGUCACUCACUAUCUAGGUGGUUUUGGACCAAUUGCGGAGCUACCAUUUAUUAGUUGGAUUGAUUGGUUUGUCUUUGUGAUGUUGGGAUCAAACCCAAGGCUCUCCCACAUUUGCACAUGCUAGGCAAGUGCUCUCCCAAGGGGCACCCCGCAUCCCCUGUCCUACCGAUUCACACUUUCAGAUGAAUAUCAAUCACCCUCAGCUCCUCGAGCUGUUGUGAGGAUGGCAGAGGAUCACACAGAGAAAAUACUGAGCACAGUGUCUGCCCAUGGUAAAGGCUAGGAAUAUCCCAAUCGCUGUUGUCAUCAGCUUCAGCUUCAUCAUCAUCUUCAUCACGGUCAUCAUCACCAUCACCAUCCUCAUGCUCAAUCUUAUUUCUCCAUAUCUUCAUAGUGUUUCUUCCUCAUCUCAAUCUCGGUCUUCAACUUCAUCUCCUCAUCACCUUUCACUGUACAGUUCAGGAACGUGUUGUUAUAAGGCACAUGCUGUUAUCGUUGUUGUCACCCAUUGUAUUUGUUACUUUUCUAUUGAUGUGAUAAAACACCAUGACCAAGGCAACUUAAGGAAAAGCUUACAUGGGCUUAUGGCUACAGAGGGUUGGAGCCCAUGAUGGUGGAGUAAAGACAUGGUGACAGGAUCCAAAGCCAGGGGUCAGAUAUUGAACUACAAGCAUGAAACAGAGAAAGAGUAGACCCAAAAUGGCAUGAGUCUUUGAACUCUCAGGCCUGACUCCUGUAACAUAAUUCCUUCAACCAGGUCACACUCCUACGCCUUCCCAAACAGUGCCACCAACUAGGAACCAACAUUUAAAUGUCAGACCCUACAGGGACAUUCCUAUUCAAACCACCACCAAGGUCCUGAAAUGAAUCCAGGAGCCCCAACCCCCACUGUCGAUCUUACCACAAACCCAGAAUUGACCACUCGUGGGGCUUACAGUCACAUUUUCUUUAUGGUUCUGUAUGACGUCACCAUCCAUAUUUCAGCCUUACACUUUAUAGUUCAGUCUUUACACUCUACAGUUUAGUCUGGACCACAUUCUUACUGUCUCCACAGUGAAUCAGCUGAAGAACCUGGGCCACUUCGAGUGUUUCUCUCGCUCUAGCUUUGUUUGUGGUUCAGUUCAUCAUGGUCCUCUGUCUUCUGCAUUCCGUGAAAGCUGAAUCCAGACACUUGACCAGACUCGGGGUAGAUCUUUUCUGUAAGGUUGUAGGUGGUUGCGUUGUCUCUCUUUUGAAAUGUCACCAUUGUCUAGCCCAGUGGUUCUCAACCUUCCUAGCGCCUGUGACCCUCAGUUCCUCGUGUUGUGGUGACCCUCAACCACAACUUCCGUUGCCACUUCAUAACUAUAUUUUUGCUACUGUUAUGCAUCCUAAUGUAAAUAUCUGUGUCUUCUGAUGAUCUUAGGCAACUCCUAUGAAAGGGAGCCAACCCACGGGUUAAGAACCGCUGAUCUAGUUGCAUUGAUCUGUAGCCAGAAAGGAACAGUGUAGUAAGGAAACACUCCUGCCGCUGCGUUUAUCAGUCAGGAUGAUUUCAACAGACGCUUCUUCUCAUCUGUAGUUGGCGAGUCAGUAAUAGUCAAGAAGAGCAAGAUAAAUGUUUGGCUUUUCCUUAACUUAAAAGUUUUUCCAAUGAGUUAGCUCCUGGUCAUCCUAAAGUAGACAGUUAUUUUUAACAUUAUAAACAGACAACUAUAUAAACACGUGAUAGGUCUCAGUCCAUGGAAAUACUUAUCCUUACUGAAAUUCAAGCUGUUCUGCUUUCAGAGCCUUGCUGGGUUGCUCCCUGGGUCCUUUUAGACACAAUGCUGGGAACGUCUGUUAGUGUUCUUCCUGUCUAAUACGACACCACACUCCUUUUUAAAUAGUCCUUGUCCCAGACCUAGAUGCAACCAUCCCUUUUCCCUAGAAACUCUGGUUUAUUUCUGCAGUAAAUGAUGUUUGGAGACUAUGCUUUGCAGAACUGGUCAUUGUUUCUGGGCUUUAUAGGGAAGCAUAAAAUAUAAUAGUAUUAAAAAUAAGUUAUACGAUAUGUAAUAAUGUAACAUAUAUGCUUAAAGGUAAAAUACCUCUUGGGUUUACCCUCCCAUGUUUGAUUCAACUUCCUAGCUGUAGGGCUUUUGGUUAGCCCUCUUGGUAUAUAUCCUUGUACUCCAUGAAUCUUGGUUCUCAAAGACUCAUGGGAUGAGGGAGUGAGAAUAUUCUGCAGUAGUUCUCUCAUUUUAUCUCAGACAUGCAUGCCACAGCCUCAGAGCAACAAUUCUAAUAUUACCACCAAAAAUUACUACUAAAAAUAGUUGAAAGCAUUUUUGCAUAUCCUCUAUUUGUACUUCUCCAUUGCCGAAAGGAUUACUUAUUUGCAUGUGUCUUAGUGUUUGUCUGCAUGUGUGUAAGAACACCAUGUGGGUGCAGUGCCUGAGGAUGCCAGAAGAGGGUGUUGGAUUCCC